rnacentral:rRNA from 1 species
GACGAACGCUGGCGGCGUGCUUAACACAUGCAAGUCGAACGGAAAGGCCCUGCUUGUGUGGGGUGCUCGAGUGGCGAACGGGUGAGUAACACGUGAGUAACCUGCCCUUGACUUUGGGAUAACUUCAGGAAACUGGGGCUAAUAACGGAUAGGAGCUCCUGCUGCAUGGUGGGGGUUGGAAAGUUUCGGCGGUUGGGGAUGGACUCGCGGCUUAUCAGCUUGUUGGUGGGGUAGUGGCUUACCAAGGCUUUGACGGGUAGCCGGCCUGAGAGGGUGACCGGCCACAUUGGGACUGAGAUACGGCCCAGACUCCUACGGGAGGCAGCAGUGGGGAAUAUUGCACAAUGGGCGGAAGCCUGAUGCAGCAACGCCGCGUGCGGGAUGACGGCCUUCGGGUUGUAAACCGCUUUCGCCUGUGACGAAGCGUGAGUGACGGUAAUGGGUAAAGAAGCACCGGCUAACUACGUG